GAUGCGCACUGGACCGGUGCGGGUCUGACCCCGUAUUGGUCGUAGAGAAAUCAUUAAGUGCGCCGCCUGGGGAGUACGGUCGCAAGGCUAAAACUCAAAGGAAUUGACGGGGGCUCACACAAGCGGUGGAGCAUGUUGCUUAAUUCGAAGCAACGCGAAGAACCUUACCAGGGUUUGACAUGCAUGGAUUAGUUCAUGGAAACAUGGAUGACACCUUCGGGUGGAACAUGCACAGGUGCUGCAUGGCUGUCGUCAGCUCGUGCUGUGAAGUGUCGGGUUAAGUCCCUUAACGAGCGCAACCCCUGUCGCUAGUUGCCAUCGCGUCAUGGCGGGGACUCUAGCGAGACUGCCGGUGUCAAACCGGAGGAAGGUGGGGAUGACGUCAAGUCCUCAUGGCCCUUACAUCCUGGGUUGCAAACGUGCUACAAUGGCGGGCACAAAGCGACGCGAGGCCGCAAGGCGGAGCAAAUCGCAUAAAACCUGCCCCAGUUCGGAUUGCAGUCUGCAACUCGACUGCAUGAAGCCGGAAUCGCUAGUAAUCGCGGAUCAGCCACGCCGCGGUGAAUACGUUCCUGAGCCUUGUACACACCGCCCGUCAAGUCAUGGAAGCCGGGAGUGCCCGAAGCCGCCCUAUCUCAAGGGUGUCCACGGCAAGUUCGGUGACUGGGACU
rnacentral:rRNA from 1 species